rnacentral:rRNA from 1 species
AUUGAACGCUGGCGGCAGGCCUAAUACAUGCAAGUCGAGCGGAGCUGCGGACGGGUGAUUAAUGCCUAGGAAUCUGCCCGGUAGUGACGUACAACGUCCGGAAACGGGCGCUAAUACCGCAUACUAUCAGAUCAGCCUAGGUCGUAUUAGCUAGUGGGUGGGGUAAAGGCUCACCUAGGCGACGAUGCCUAGCUGGGCCGAGAGGAUGACCGGCCACACUGGGACUGAGACACGGCCCAGACGCCUACGGGAGGCAGCAGUGGGGAAUAUUGGGCAAUGGGCGAAAGCCUGAUGGAGCCAUGCCGCGUGUAUGAAGAAGGCCUUCGGGUUGUAAAAUACUUUCAGCGGGGAAGCGGUACCCAACGAAGAAGCACCGGCUAACUCCGUGCCAGCAGCCGCGGUAAUAC